rnacentral:rRNA from 1 species
AGGGUGUAUGGUGGAUGUUCUGGCGUCAGUGGCUGAAGAAAGACGUGGUAGACUGCGAUAAGCUUCGGGGAGGUGUCAACGACCUUUGAUCCGUAGAUUUCUGAAUGGGGCAACCUGGCAGGUUAAGACCUGUCACUUGUAACUGAAUUCAUAGGUUACAGGGAGGCACGUAGGGAAGUGAAACAUCUCAGUACCUACAGGAAUAUAAAGUAACAACGAUUCCCUCAGUAGCGGCGAGCGAAGCGGGAAUAGCCCAAACCGGUGAAGCGUGAUAGAUGAUGAUCGUUUCUUCACUGGGGUCGUGGGAAGAUCAUUCAAGGAGUCAUCAAUCCUUGGGGUGAUCGCAUAUGUUUAGGAGAACGCUUUGGAAAGAGCGACCAAAGGAGGUGAAAGUCCUGUAUCCGAAAAACAUGUGCGACCCUUUGUUCUCUCCCAAGUAGUACCGGACACGGGAAACCCGGUAUGAAUUCGCGAGGACCACCUCGCAAGGCUAAAUACUUACUGACGACCGGUAGCGAACCAGUAGCGUGAGCGGACAAUGAAAAGUACCCGGAGUACGGGAGUGAAAGAGUACCUGAAACCAUACACUUACAAGCGGUCGGAGAACUAUGGCCUUCGGGCAAUGUUUGACGGCGUGCCUUUUGCAUAAUGAGUCUGCGAGUUACUGUAUGUGGCCAGGCUAAGAACUUCCAGUUCGGAGCCGAAGGGAAACCGAGUGUUAAUAGCGCGUCUAGUCGCAUGCAGUAGACCCGAAGCUGGAGUGAUCUAUCCGUGUGCAGGUUGAAGCGAGCGUAAGACCUCGUGGAGGACCGAACCCACUAAGGCUGAAAACUUAGGGGAUGACGUGCGGAUUGGAGUAAAAGGCUAAUCAAACCCAGUGAUAUCUGGUUCUCUCCGAAAUAUAUUUAGGUAUAGCCUCGCGUUAUUAGUUAUGGGGGGUAGAGCACUGAAUGGAUGAUGGGGCCUACCGGCUUACUGACUUCAAUCAAACUCCGAAUACCCAUGACCGUAUCGCGGGAGUCAGACCUUGGGGGAUAAGCUCCAUGGUCGAAAGGGAAACAGCCCAGACCAUCAGUUAAGGUCCCAAAGCUGUUGCUAAGUGCAUAAGGAUCUGGAGUUGCUAAGACAGUGAGGAUGUUGGCUUAGAAGCAGCCACCAUUUAAAAAGUGCGUAAUAGCUUACUCAUCGAGCAACUUUGGGCCGAAAAUUAACGGGACUAAGCAACACACCGAAACUAUGGGUGUAUAUGAAUUUAUACGCGGUAGGAGAGCGUUCUACGUUAGAUUGAAGGUGUACCGAAAGGAACAUUGGACGAUGUAGAAGUGCUUAUGCAGACAUGAGUAGCGAUAAGGGGAGCGAGAAUCUCCCCCACCGAAAGCCUAAGGUUUCCUGGGGAAGGCAAAUCCGCCCAGGGUGAGUCGGGACCUAAGGCGAGGCCGAAGGGCGUAGUCGAAGGACAACAGGUUAAUAUUCCUGUACCACUUGGUAUGCGUUAUACCAAAGGAGGGACGCAGGAGGAUAGGUGAUCCGAGUGAUAGUUAUCUCGGUACAAGCGUGUAGGGUGUCCACUAGGUAAAUCCGGGGGACGUGACCUGAGACGUGAUGUGGAGCGCAAGCGAACUCAUUGAUUCCAUGCUGCCAAGAAAAUCUUCUAGGAAGUGUAACAAGUGCCCGUACUAAAACUGACACAGGUAGGCAGGUCGAAUAGACCAAGGUGCUCGAGAAAACUCUCGUUAAGGAACUCGGCAAAUUGGCCCCGUAACUUCGGGAUAAGGGGUGCCCCUCUGGUGAAGAACCUGCGUUCUCAGCUAUGGGGGGUCACAGUAAAUAGGUGGUAGCGACUGUUUAGCAAAAACACAGCACUAUGCCAAGUCGCAAGACGCAGUAUAUAGUGUGACGCCUGCCCAAUGCUGGAAGGUCAAGGGGAACGGUUAGCGCAAGCGAAGCUGUGAACUCAAGCCCCAGUGAAUGGCGGCCGUAACAAUGACGGUCCUAAGGUAGCGAAAUUCCUUGUCGGGUAAGUUCCGACCUGCA